GACGAACGCUGGCGGCGUGCUUAACACAUGCAAGUCGAACGGUAAGGCCCUUCGGGUACACGAGUGGCGAACGGGUGAGUAACACGUGGGUGAUCUGCCCUGCACUUCGGGAUAAGCCUGGGAAACUGGGUCUAAUACCGGAUAGGACCAUGGACUUCACGGUUUGUGGUGGAAAGCUUUUGCGGUGUGGGAUGGGCCCGCGGCCUAUCAGCUUGUUGGUGGGGUAAUGGCCUACCAAGGCGACGACGGGUAGCCGGCCUGAGAGGGUGUCCGGCCACACUGGGACUGAGAUACGGCCCAGACUCCUACGGGAGGCAGCAGUGGGGAAUAUUGCACAAUGGGCGCAAGCCUGAUGCAGCGACGCCGCGUGAGGGAUGACGGCCUUCGGGUUGGUAAACCUCUUUCAAUAGGGACGAAGCGCAAGUGACGGUACCGUAUAGAAGAAGCACCGG
rnacentral:rRNA from 1 species